UUUCCCUAAUUUACCCCUUCAUUCUUCAAAUUAUAUUCCCAAAUCCUGCCUUUGGUUUGUCUCCUUCCUUCUCCAAUCUAGAUCCCUACUGCCCAUUGAUCUUCUUCCUAAAAAUAAAGCGAAAAUGAGAGAGUGCAUUUUGAUCCACAUUGGACAGGCCGGUAUUUAGGGAGUUCUACUGCCUUGAGCACGGCAUUGAGCGGCGGCGCGAGAAGGAAAUUAUUUGGAUCUAAGCCAAUCCUUGAUGAAAAUGGACGAGGUUGGUCGCGUUAGAACCGCCAGGAUGAGGUGAAUCCAGUGAUGGUAGUUUGCGACCGGAAUUCGUCCGAAUGGCGAUGAAUCGAGAUGAAAAUCGUUCAGAGUUCGUGGGCGGAGCCUACUCUUUCCGAUAAAAAAAAAUUGAUGGUAUGAAAAUGUUCGUCUUGGUAAGAGGGUUGCAACGGUAUAUGAUAUGCCCAGAAAUUCAUUGGGACAACGCCGAAAUCUUAGAGAGAAGAUUCCGACGAAAAAGGGGCAAUCCUGUCGACUUCGGCCGGCGCAUGAGGGCGCGUGCAGCAUCGGUUCACGGUUGAAUUUGAAUCGGUUCUUAAUUCCCGAAGAGGAGAAGAUUAUACGGAAAUACAUGUUGUUGAAAGACAAAAAGCGACAACCCAAAAACCAAAAAAUUUGAUUGUUUGGUUGUCAGGAGCCGAUUCUUGAAGUGCUGCUUCAUUAGUGCAGUCUCAAGGCAAAGCCAGAUUCAAAGGGAUCAAGAGACAUUAUGGAGAAGCCUUCCACUAGCAAUGUCAAUGGUAGCUUUCAGUCUGAGAAGCACCUGCAGCAGCUGAGGAGAAACGGCUUACAACCUGGGGUUCUGAAGUACCUGAUGAUUUAGUAUUAGAUCAGGAAAAACUGGCUGAAGCACUUAGAACGUAAAAUUCUUCUAGGCCCUUUAUGUCCGGAAAAAAAUUGGUCUUCAUUGAGGACUGAUGUGGUUAUGUACAUACAGCAAUCUGAUUAUGAUAGGAGGAUGAGAGGAGGAGAGAAGAGCGGGAUGAGAGGAAACGCAAGUAUAACGUCAAAUGGAACGAUGAGGUCACAGCUGAAGAUAUGGAAGCAUACAGGAUGAAGAGGGUCCAUCAUGAUGAUCCACUGAAGGACUUCUUACAUUGAAGCUAUGUAUUAGAUUUAUAGAUUUCAUGCUAGGAAAAGUCUGAAAUAGUUGUGGUCUUAGGGACAAUCUGAGAGGAAGCAUGUGAAGUUGUGUAAAAAGCACUACGAUUUGCAUGUGUUGUUGCUCUUCUUGAGCUCUGCAAUGUAUUGCUACCGUUGUUGCUAUGUAAUGAUUGGGGAGAUUUUUUAUGCUAUUGCGCUCGGUUGUAUUGUAGACAGUUUAAGAAAAAAUACUGAUAAA